rnacentral:rRNA from 1 species
CCUACGGGGGACUGCAGUGAGGAAUAUUGGUCAAUGGACGAGAGUCUGAACCAGCCAAGUAGCGUGAAGGAUGCCUGCCCUAUGGGUUGUAAACUUCUUUUAUAAAGGAAUAAAACGAGGCACGUGUGCCUUUUUGCAUGUACUUUAUGAAUAAGGAUCGGCUAACUCCGUGCCAGCAGCCGCGGUAAUACGGAGGAUCCGAGCGUUAUCCGGAUUUAUUGGGUUUAAAGGGAGCGUAGAUGGGUUGUUAAGUCAGUUGUGAAAGUUUGCGGCUCAACCGUAAAAUUGCAAUUGAUACUGGCAGUCUUGAGUACAGUUGAGGUAGGCGGAAUUCGUGGUGUAGCGGUGAAAUGCUUAGAUAUCACGAAGAACCCCGAUUGCGAAGGCAGCUUACUAAACUGUGACUGACAUUGAUGCUCGAAAGUGUGGGGAUCAAACAGGAUUAGAUACCCUAGUAGUC